AGGUGUAGCCAAGUGGUAAGGCAUGGGACUUUGACUCCCUGACUCGCUGGUUCGAAUCCAGCCAUCU
rnacentral:tRNA from 1 species